rnacentral:rRNA from 1 species
AGAGUUUGAUCCUGGCUCAGGAUUAACGCUGGCGGCGUGCCUAACACAUGCAAGUCGAACGAGGUAGCAAUACCUAGUGGCAGACGGGUGAGUAACGCGUGGUCAACCUGCCCUUGAGCGGGGGAUAACUAGCCGAAAGGUUAGCUAAUACCGCAUACGUCUAGGAUGGCAUCAUCCAAAGAUAAAAGCCGCAAGGCACUCGAGGAGGGGACCGCGUCCCAUUAGUUAGUUGGUGGGGUAACGGCCUACCAAGACUCCGAUGGGUAGCUGGUUUGAGAGAGCGACCAGCCACACUGGGACUGAGAAACGGCCCAGACUCCUACGGGAGGCAGCAGUGAGGAAUUUUCCGCAAUGGGCGAAAGCCUGACGGAGCGACGCCGCGUGUGGGAAGAAGGCCUUCGGGUCGUAAACCACUGUCGAAGGGGACGAUAUUGACGGUACCCUUGGAGGAAGCCCCGGCUAACUACGUGCCAGCAGCCGCGGUAAGACGUAGGGGGCAAGCGUUAUUCGGAAUUAUUGGGCGUAAAGCGUUCGUAGGCUGGACAGGAAGUCCGUGAAGAAAGACCUGGGCUCAACUCAGGGAACGGCACGGAUACUCUUGUUCUUGAGACAUUCAGAGGAUGAUGGAAUUCCCGGUGUAGCGGUGAAAUGCGUAGAUAUCGGGAGGAACCCAGUGGCGAAGGCGAUCAUCUGGGGAUGUUCUGACGCUGAAGAACGAAAGCUAGGGGAGCAAACGGGAUUAGAUACCCCCGUAGUCC